CUGCUACACUUCCUGCGGCGGAUUUCGCGCAACUCCACCGCUCCCUGACAGGCCGCAGUAACGAUCGCAGCACCGCUCCACUCCCUACGACGGAUCCCACGCGGCUCCAUUACUACCUGACAGGCCACGAUAAAUGGCCGCGAUCCUGCUCCACCUCCUGCAACGGAUACCGCGCGAUUCUUCCAUCCGCUUGCAAAUCACGACAACAAACGCCGCCCCACUUCACGCGGCAGACUCCACGUGGCA
rnacentral:lncRNA from 1 species